rnacentral:rRNA from 1 species
UAAUCUGCGAUAAGCGUCGGUAAGGUGAUAUGAACCGUUAUAACCGGCGAUUUCCGAAUGGGGAAACCCAGUGUGUUUCGACACACUAUCAUUAACUGAAUCCAUAGGUUAAUGAGGCGAACCGGGGGAACUGAAACAUCUAAGUACCCCGAGGAAAAGAAAUCAACCGAGAUUCCCCCAGUAGCGGCGAGCGAACGGGGAGGAGCCCAGAGCCUGAAUCAGUGUGUGUGUUAGUGGAAGCGUCUGGAAAGGCGCGCGAUACAGGGUGACAGCCCCGUACACAAAAAUGCACAUGCUGUGAGCUCGAUGAGUAGGGCGGGACACGUGGUAUCCUGUCUGAAUAUGGGGGGACCAUCCUCCAAGGCUAAAUACUCCUGACUGACCGAUAGUGAACCAGUACCGUGAGGGAAAGGCGAAAAGAACCCCGGCGAGGGGAGUGAAAAAGAACCUGAAACCGUGUACGUACAAGCAGUGGGAGCACAGAGCAAUCUGUGUGACUGCGUACCUUUUGUAUAAUGGGUCAGCGACUUAUAUUCUGUAGCAAGGUUAACCGAAUAGGGGAGCCGAAGGGAAACCGAGUCUUAACUGGGCGUUAAGUUGCAGGGUAUAGACCCGAAACCCGGUGAUCUAGCCAUGGGCAGGUUGAAGGUUGGGUAACACUAACUGGAGGACCGAACCGACUAAUGUUGAAAAAUUAGCGGAUGACUUGUGGCUGGGGGUGAAAGGCCAAUCAAACCGGGAGAUAGCUGGUUCUCCCCGAAAGCUAUUUAGGUAGCGCCUCGUGAAUUCA